GACUAGGUCAGACAGAAAUGGAACGUCAGAGGAAGGUAGAAAGGGGGGGCAAAGAUGUUACAAUUGUAAUAAAAACGGACAUUUCGCCAGGGAAUGCGAGGUUCCAUGUGGAUAUUGUAAAAAAAAAAAGGACAUCAGCGCCGCGAUUGUAAACAGAAACCACCGAAAUUAUAAUUCAACUAAGGGGAAAGUCAGGCGCGACAAACGGGAGAAAAAGAGGCAACGAGAGCGCGAUUAAUGAGAAUCCUCGCUGGGGAAACGCUUGGAUCUUUAAAUUAGAGCUAUUUUCUGGGAAUUGCCUCGGUGCCGGAGUUUGCGACUACAGAAAAUUAUAAUAAUAGGGUUAUUGGCUCCUUUAUUCCUAAAGUGAUGGUGGUUCAAUGGUUAAAUGGCUGCCUUCCAAGCUUGAGACCUGAGUUCGAUUCAUGCAGAACUACAGAAGGAGAUUACCCACAUGAUUGGGCCAGGGGACUGGGUCUGGGUCCAAUCACUAAAGAAAAAGGACUGGAAGCAGCCACGGUGGUAGGGGCCAUACCAAGCACUCCUGGUGACUGCAUUCGCAGUGAGAAUAGCUGAAAGAACUACCUGGGUUCAUAUCACACAAUGCAAGAGGGUCUCAUUUCCAGGACUCUGGAGAAAUCGAUGACAAUACUGAUGAUAAGAUAUGGACCGAUUCCAAGUUCUGACCAGUGGAAGGAUGAAUACUGGUUCCCAGACCGAGGAUGGAUCCGGCUACUUUAAGACAUUAUAAAUAUUUAGGUCCCAUCUUGUGUUGAUGCUUAGACUAUUUUUUGAUAAAGAUUAUAAUGAAAAUCCUGUUAAGAAGAGUUAUGAUUCUGAUGAAGGCCUGGAACAGCCAUUGUAAAUACAUAUAUUGGUUAUUGUGUGGUUGAUGUUGUGUUAGAUGUUGUGGUUGAUUUAGGUUGUAUUUGGAAAACAAUAAAUAUUUCUAAUAAAAAUAGAUUUGUGCCUUUUAAUAUUUCUAAUAAAACUAGAUUACGAUUAGAUGUAAAAUAUUUAGUCAUAUGGUGGAUAUGUUACGGGAUUUUCGUGUUUAAUGACUAAAAUAUGUAUACAUUUGACUUAGAAUUAUAACUAAACAGAAUACUACUAUGUUACUGUAUGGAUGAAUGAAUCUUAUUAUAAUCAUAAUG